rnacentral:rRNA from 1 species
UACGUAGGUGGCAAGCGUUGUCCGGAAUUAUUGGGCGUAAAGCGCGCGCAGGCGGUCCUUUAAGUCUGAUGUGAAAGCCCACGGCUCAACCGUGGAGGGUCAUUGGAAACUGGGGGACUUGAGUACAGAAGAGAAGAGUGGAAUUCUACGUGUAGCGGUGAAAUGCGUAGAGAUGUGGAGGAACACCAGUGGCGAAGGCGACUCUUUGGUCUGUAACUGACGCUGAGGCGCGAAAGCGUGGGGAGCAAACAGG